rnacentral:rRNA from 1 species
UACGUAGGGUGCAAGCGUUAAUCGGAAUUACUGGGCGUAAAGCGUGCGCAGGCGGUUGGGUAAGACAGAUGUGAAAUCCCCGGGCUCAACCUGGGAACUGCAUUUGUGACUGCACGGCUGGAGUGCGGCAGAGGGGGAUGGAAUUCCGCGUGUAGCAGUGAAAUGCGUAGAUAUGCGGAGGAACACCGAUGGCGAAGGCAAUCCCCUGGGCCUGCACUGACACUGAUGAGCGAAAGCCAGGGGAGCAAACGGG